GACAGAGGGUGCAAACGUUGUUCGGAGUUACUGGGCGUAAAGCGCGUGUAGGCGGCCCUGCAAGUCGGGUGUGAAAUCCCACGGCUCAACCGUGGAAGUGCAUUCGAAACUGCAGGGCUAGAGUCCUGGAGAGGAAGGUGGAAUGCUUGGUGUAGAGGUGAAAUUCGUAGAUAUCGGGAAGAACAUCGGUGGCGAAGGCGCUCUACUGGACCACAACUGACACUCAGGGACGAAAGCUAGGGGAGCGAAUGGG
rnacentral:rRNA from 1 species